UACGUAGGGACCGAGCGUUGUCCGGAAUCAUUGGGCGUAAAGAGCGUGUAGGCGGCCAACUAAGUCCUGCGUGAAAUCUCGGGGCUCAACCCCGAGCGGUCGUGGGAAACUGGUUGGCUAGAGUGCGGGGAGAGGAGAGUGGAAUUCCUGGUGUAGCGGUGAAAUGCGCAGAUAUCAGGAAGAACACCCGUGGCGAAGGCGGCUCUCUGGAACGCAACUGACGCUGAGACGCGAAAGCGUGGGGAGCAAACAGG
rnacentral:rRNA from 1 species